rnacentral:rRNA from 1 species
CAGUCGCCACGGUAAUACGGAGGGUGCAAGCGUUAAUCGGAAUUACUGGGCGUAAAGCGCACGCAGGCGGUUUGUUAAGUCAGAUGUGAAAUCCCCGAGCUUAACUUGGGAACUGCAUUUGAAACUGGCAAGCUAGAGUCUUGUAGAAGGGGGUAGAAUUCCAGGUGUAGCGGUGAAAUGCGUAGAGAUCUGGAGGAAUACCGGUGGCGAAGGCGGCCCCCUGGACAAAGACUGACGCUCAGGUGCGAAAGCGUGGGGAGCAAACAGGAUUAGAUACCCGCGUAGUCCCUGUCUCUUAUAC